CAGAGAUCUCUGAAAUCAUUCCUCUUCCCUCAUCUCCCAAAGAAUAUCUAUACGUACAGUAUGGGGGACAGAGUUAUGGUUUUGACAUGGAUUUGGCCUCUGUUGAGUUUGCUUUCACCAAGAUUGAUUCUCAAUAUCAAAUGUAUAGCUGAAUUCUGUAUUUGCAUAUAUAAAAUUACUUUUAUUUUCUCUAUCCUGAUCAACUAACUAACCUACUUCAUGAGUAUCUGCUUGUUAUAUAGACAUAGCAGAGGACAAUGCUCAUUUAGAGUGAGCCGUCAAAGAGAUAAUUAAUGAUAAAUGUUGUGAAUUCGGAUUGAAUAAUCACACCAAUAAUACUUUUGAUGUGUGGAGCAAAUCGAAUAAGCAAUCAAAACGUGGAAAUAGCAAUAAUAAUCACGAACAAAAGAUAAGUAAUAAAACUGUAAAGNNNNNNNNNNNNNGAGAUUUCAAUGAUAAGUGAUUACAAGAUGAAAGAAUCAACACCCAAAACCUAGAGAUGAACCAAGAGUAACCCUCUUAACCCUAGCCGCCGUUUUGGUGAAAGAAACCCUCAAAACUUCCUCUUAAAAAAACAGAAAACGUGACCCUUUAAAUACUCUGCAGCGAUUUCCGCCUGAAACACAGCUUUUUCCGCCUGAGGCGGAAACUUCCGCCUGAAACACC
rnacentral:lncRNA from 1 species